GCGCGCCCAAGUCCCCGAAGCGCCCCGGCGACUGUGGAGGCGGCGGCGGCGGCGGCGGCGGCGGCGGCGGUGGCGGCUGCCCC
rnacentral:miRNA from 14 species